UGUUCAUUUCUGGAAUUUUCCACUUAAUAUUUUCUGACCAUGAUUGGCCAUGGGUAAUUGAAAUCACAGAAAGUGAAACCACAGAUAAAAGGGGACAACAGUACAUGAGCAGGUGGGAGGUGUUAAGCACCUAGAGACAGCAAAGGUCUACGAGGAGCUGGCAAGGGAUGGGCUCACUCUGGAUGGGGAGAGCCAAGAGGGAGGCAGCUGAUGUGGUAUACUUUGCUUCACACAUAUGCAUGCACAUGCAUGCGCACACACACACGCACAUACACAUCCAUGCGCAUGAACCCACACACACAAAUGCACAGAUGUACACACACACACAUUCUAAUUCCCUUACACUUGCAGAGCAGGGUCCAUUCUGCAGAGGCUUUUCACAGGCAGACCUAACCAGCCUUGCAACAACCCCACGUGGGAGAGAGGUUUCACAGAACAUCUCCAUUCGAUAGAGACUGGCCAGCAGGAGACAUCACUUCCAAAUAUAUCUAUUGUUUUCUUCAUUAGCCAAAGUGUUUAUUUUAAACCACCUGAUUUAACGGCAUGUGUCAGGCAGAAUUCUAAGAUGGUCACCCAGAUUCCCACCCCUGUUAGAUAUGCCUUUAAGCCCUCUCCCCUCGAAUGCGGGCAGGACUGUGAUUGGCAUGAAACACUCACUCCCUUGCUGAGACUUCAUUGCAGGGGACUGGAAAGAGGUUCUCCAGCUGGCUUUGGAGGAAUGAGCUGCCAUUCUGGGAGAGGACCAUGUGCCUGGGACCUGAGGGCAGCUUCCAGGAGUGCCACAACUUCAGGGAAUUGAGUCCUACCAACAGCCAGAAUAGCUUGCAAGAGGACCCAGAGCUCCAGGAGGGGACAUAGCCUGGUCAACACUCUAGUUCAGCCUUGAAAACUUCAGGCAGGGAACCCAGCUAAGUCAUGCUCUGGCUUCUGGACAACAGAAACUGAGAUACUAAAUGGGUGCUGUUUUAAGUCAGUGAGUUUGUGGUAAUCAGUUACAAAACAAUGAAAAAUGAAUACAGAGCACAUCUUCUAUAUGGUUUAUCUAUUUCUCCUUUUUUUUGCCUUCCCCCCUCACCCCCCACAUCUGGCUAUUUAUUUUCUCCGUGUGUCUCUGUCUGAAUUCUGUAUCCGUUACAUUAUUUAAUAAUGAUAGAACUUCCAUAUCACAGAAAAGAGCAAAAGUGAGCCUCGUUAAUCCUAGUUCAGCUCUUUUUUUAAACUCAUCCAAGACCUUGAAAGAAGCAGAAAUAAAAGUAAUCUCGCUCUCACUUCUGGUUCUGUUGAAAACAGAGAUUUAUUCUUACCAGAGAUCCCUGCAUUUUUAACAAAUAAACCGAAAGGUUUGAUUUGGCACAUGAUUGUCCCAGAUCAGCAGAAUGGCCAGUGGGUGAGCACAGGGUCAAGACCUUCAUGCUGGGAUCAGACUGGGAGGACACCAGAACCUCUUUCAGAGUCUGAAGACAUUCCGUCAACCAUAAGCAGGGGAAACAGAGUCUCCUGAUUUGUCUUAGCAAUGUGGGGAUACCAACAAACGUGCCAGCAGCCCAGGCCUCACCUGGCCAACCCACUCACCUGUCCUCUUCCUUGCAUCUCCAGGUCUCUGGGCACUUUUCAUUGACUCUUGUUCAUCCUAGUGCUUUUUCAGAGGAAUGUGGACGAGGGCCCCAUGCCCAGGAGGUGGCAUUCUCCAAGAGGAGCCAAAGGUUGGAAGUUUGGAUGCUCCAAUGUCAAAUCUUUCUAUAUAAGAGGACUAAAACCGAACUCACAGUUCAGGUCACUUCUAGAUUUGAAGUAGAUAACUGGAAGGUGUAUUCACAAACAACAACGAUAAUAAGUAUAUAGAACAUUAAAAAGUUAAAUGAAAUUACAAUUUGACUACAUACCAUUCAUUUAAAUUCUAGACGAUUGUAACGAUUUCAUAGCAUAGUAUCUUAUGAUCCAUGGCUUUUCUGAAAUGAUUUUUAAAUUCAAUCAGUUACAGUCACAGGAAAGCCAUCAGUACUACAAAUGGAGGUGCUGCCAUUCUUAUUAACUUUAUGCUACAAUUAUUGUCUAUGUCAUUAAAUCUAGAUGUAGCGAAGACAAAGAAAAGAACAGAUGUUUAAAAAAUAGUCUGAAGCAGAAAGUGUAAAGAAAUAAUUUUUGGCAGAGAAACAACAAGUCCUGUGGAGCCUAAAAGCUAAAAGCAAUUACUUGUUAAAAUAAUAAUUCUUUCCAGCCCUGAUGAAUUAAGUGGUACUGGAUCAGCCCUCCCAUCAUAAACAAUGAUAGAACUGGAUCAAAUUUGUGAAUUGCCUGUUUUUCAGGCAUUUUCAGACCUGAGGCAGUGCAGAAUCAGAGAGAAGAGAAAAGUAACAGGGAUGAGCUGUGGCUUCUGGGAGGAGGUUAAAGAAAGACCCUGGCCCUCCUCCUGUUCCUCCUCUCAUGCUCUCUCUUGUCUGCCCACUCAGAUGGAGUUCAGCUACCAUUCUGUGAGCUGGAGAGGCCUGUGCAGAAAAGAACUAAGGAAAGCCAGUGAAGAACUGGAUUCCUCAGUCCAAUAGCUCACGAGGAAUUUAAUUCUGCCAACAGCCACUCAGCCUACUCAACAUGAAGACGAUGAGGAUGAAGACUUUGAUGAGGAUUCCCUUCCAUUUAAUGAAUAGUCAGUACAUGUUCUUCUCAUGAUUUUCUUAAUUCGGCAGGCCUACCUGAGGAACGUGUUGGAACUGAAUCAAAGUCAACCAGAAACUUCCACUUCCCUUUCACUGUGCCUAGAAGUGCCCAUCAAAUCACGGUAGGAUCACAGCAGUCGCUGUUCUCAAACUCCAGGACUCACACUAAGGGACAACUCAAACGACAGGCUUAUCACUUAUUAAACAGGGAGGUAAAUCCACCUUUCAAAGACUCGAUUCCUUCAAUACAAAUUCAGUGAGGACAUGAGGAAAAUUUCCAACAAUGCUACAAACACUGAGUUUUCAGAAAAACACUUCGUGAACAAAAUCUCUGGAAUAUAAAACCUGCGAGUCAAAUGAUCACCUGGCUACUCAGUACACAAGGUCACACCAGUUUUCUAGCAAAAGGCAACUUAAAAACCAUUCAAGGAGCCCCAUCACAAUGCUUUCAGUGACACAGUGGGUAUCACUUUGUAGAGAGAGAGAUUUGGGUUCAGAAAUGUUACUGGACUUUAUUCAAGUCACACUGUUAGAAAAUAGAAGAAUCAGCCGGGCGCAGUGGCUCACGCCUGUAAUCCCAGCACUUUGAGA